rnacentral:tRNA from 1 species
GCAUGGGUGGCGGAGAAGGCCGAACGCAGUCAGUUAACUCCUGUUCAGUCAGGUCAUCGCAGGUUCGAAUCCUGCCCCAUGCACUA